rnacentral:rRNA from 1 species
UACAGAGGUCCCAAGCGUUACUGAGAAUCACUGGGUUUAAAGGGUGCGUAGGUGGUCCGUUAAGUCAGUUGUGAAAUCCCCGGGCUCAACCCGGGAAAUGCUUCUGAUACUGGCGGACUUGAGGCCAGUAGGGGUCACUAGAACUGACGGUGGAGCGGUGAAAUGCGUAGAUAUCGUCAGGAAUGCCGGUGGUGAAGACGGGUGACUGGGCUGGUUCUGACACUGAGGCACGAAAGCCAGGGGAGCGAACGGG